UCAGGCCUAACACAUGCAAGUCGAGCGAGACCUUCGGGUCUAGCGGCGGACGGGUGAGUAACGCGUGGGAAUAUGCCCUUCGGUUCGGAAUAGCCCCGGGAAACUGGGAGUAAUACCGGAUACGGUCUACGGACGAAAGAUUUAUCGCCGAAGGAUUAGCCCGCGUUGGAUUAGGUAGUUGGUGGGGUAAUGGCCUACCAAGCCGACGAUCCAUAGCUGGCUUGAGAGGAUGAUCAGCCACACUGGGACUGAGACACGGCCCAGACUCCUACGGGAGGCAGCAGUGGGGAA
rnacentral:rRNA from 1 species